UUUCAUUCGUAAGCAAACCUAUUUUUCAAACGUUUUCAAGUGAUUUUUCACUAAAAUUGAACUGGCUGUGAAGGUUUUUAAUUUUCGUAGUAUUGUUUAAAAAAAAUUCUUCGCAGUAAUUUGGAACGAGUAAUUCCACAUCUGACAUUGAAAACCAUCAUGUAUUCCGCGCUCUUACGAUUACGCACGAUUCCCGCAUUUUUAAAGUGUCUUGCUGUGAUUCUGGGUCUCAUUACUUUCAUAUGUACAAGAGCAAGUCCGAUACAUGGCAUUGUGGAAGAAUUUUGCUUUAUCGUUGGCGUUGUGGGAUUCGUAAUGACGUUUAUUUUUCUACUUUUAUUUGUAUUCAGAAUCGAUAAUCGUAUAACAAUUAAUUGGGCCAAAGUUGAAAUGGCUUUUGCUUUAAUUUCAUCACAUGCAUAUUUGCUGAUUUCGACACUCAUAAUUAGAGAUACAAACGAUGUUUUAAGAACAGCCGCCGUGUGUGGAUAUUUAACAAUGUUUAUCUUCAUGAUCGACACAUGUAUAAUGUAUAAACUGGUUGUUUCGGGCGUUAAUGGUUGGGGCUAUUAUUAAAAUAUUGGAAAAAUCUUUCGAUUUUUCCGAACAACAAUUGUUAGGGUUUAUUUAUUUUAAUGAAAAGGAGAUUUUAUUGGAGAGCUUUUUGAAAAUGAAAAUUAAUAUUCAGGCAAUUAACUGGUUUUGAUGUUGAAACCCUUUAACUGACAGGGACCGGUUCGCGCAUAUUUCUAUGCUUGCCUAAAUACGCUAGGUAGCAUAGAUAUGCCAAGCAUAGCCGCAAACGCCACCGACGCAUCGCCGUUCACUCUAUAUGAACAAUACAACGAACAUGUAUCCAGGCGACCGUGCAUUGAGAGACGUACGCAUACAAUAUAGCUCGAAUCGAAUGGCGACGGGUGCGUUGCAGCUUACGUCUCCGCUAUGCUUAGCAUAGCUAUCAGGCAUAGAAAUAUGCGCAAACCGGUCCCUGUUAACUGAAAUUCAAAGUAGCGAUAAAAAGCUUAAUUUUCGAUUUAAGUAAAAUAAAACACAAAUACUUUUCUGACCAUGAAA